AUUGAACGCUGGCGGCAGGCCUAACACAUGCAAGUCGAACGGUAACAGGAAACAGCUUGCUGUUUCGCUGACGAGUGGCGGACGGGUGAGUAAUGUCUGGGAAACUGCCUGAUGGAGGGGGAUAACUACUGGAAACGGUAGCUAAUACCGCAUAACGUCGCAAGACCAAAGAGGGGGACCUUCGGGCCUCUUGCCAGCGGAUGUGCCCAGAGGGGAUUAGCUAGUAGGUGGGGUAACGGCCCACCUAGGCGACGAUCCCUAGCUGGUCUGAGAGGAUGACCAGCCACACUGGAACUGAGACACGGUCCAGACUCCUACGGGAGGCAGCAGUGGGGAAUAUUGCACAAUGGGCGCAAGCCUGAUGCAGCCAUGUCGCGUGUAUGAAGAAGGCCUUCGGGUUGUAAAGUACUUUCAGCGGGGAGGAAGGGAGUAAAGUUAAUACCUUUGCUCAUUGACGUUACCCGCAGAAGAAGCACCGGCUAACUCCGUGCCAGCAGCCGCCGUAA
rnacentral:rRNA from 1 species